UACGGGGGGGGCAAGCGUUGUUCGGAAUUACUGGGCGUAAAGGGCUCGUAGGCGGCCAACUAAGUCAGACGUGAAAUCCCCAGGCUCAACCUGGGAACUGCGUCUGAUACUGGAUGGCUUGAAUUCGGGAGAGGGAUGCAGAAUUCCAGGUGUAGCGGUGAAAUGCGCAGAUAUCAGGAGGAACACCGGUGGCGAAGGCGGGUCUCUGGGCCGAUACUGACGCUGAGGAGCGAAAGCGUGGGGAGCGAACAGG
rnacentral:rRNA from 1 species